UCUGUCGGGUGCAUCCACCCUCAAAUAGGAUAUGUCGGGUUCAUCCGCCCUCAAAUAGGAUAUGUCGGGUUCAUCCGCCCUCAAAUAGGAUAUGUUGGUUUCAGUCUUUACUUUUAAGUGUUGGAGUUGGGAGCCCGCCCAUAAUAACAUAGGCAUACAUUUAGUCUUUUUACUUUAGGUGUUGAAAUUGAGAGCCCGCCCAUAAUAACAGAGGAAUACAUUCAGUCUUUACUUUUAAGUGUUGAAGUUGGGAGCCCGCCCAGAUAACAGAGGCAUACAUUCAGUCUUUUUAUUUCAAGUGUUGAAAUUGGGAGCCUGCCCAGAUAACAGAGGCAUACAUUUCCUUCCUAAGUUUAUUUUACCAAUAGGAGACGCACUUCCUAAGAAAAGUUUUACCAAUAGGAGACGCACUUCCUAAGAUAAGUUUUACCAAUAGGAGACGCACUUCCUAAGAUAAGUUUUACCAGUAGGAGACGCACUUCCUAAGACAAGUUUCACCAGUAGGAGACGCACUUCCUAAGUUUAUUGUACCCACAGGAGACGCACUUCCUAAAUCCAUUGUACCAGUAGGAGACGCACUUCCUAAAAAGUUUUACCAUAGGAGACGCACUUCCUAAGUUCAGUUUUACCAUAGGAGACGCACUUCCUAAGCAAGUUUUACUAGUAGGAGACGCACUUCCUAAGACAAGUUUCACCAGUAGGAGACGCACUUCCUAAGUUGAUUUCACCAAUAGGAGACGCACUUCCUAACUUAAGUUCACCGAUAGGAGACGCACUUCCUAAAAAGCU
rnacentral:lncRNA from 1 species